CAAAUGCUGGCUAUAGCCAAUCAAGUUGUAUAACCUGUGCUUGUGGAGAGUUUGGGUGUGUUGAACCAUCUUUCAUGUGGAGUACUGCUGCUGUGUUCCCGAACUUUUUUUCUCAUUCACAUCAACUUUGUAAAUUUAACUGCUUUCGGGUUUUUAACCGUUUGGUGUAUAGCUGGCCAAUUGGAAGAAGGAGCUUGGAUCUUGUUUGGUACCCGCCAGGCCCCUCGAGCCCAUUGAUCUCUACUCGGCAACCAGAGCACCUGCAAAUAUUCACGAUGCUAGAACAGCAGAUGGCAACAGUGACAAAUGGUGUCUUGCGUAUCUGCGAGUAUGUCUUCGUGAAUGUGAGGCCAAAUCAGCAUGAGGUUAUUUGUGAGUUCAAGUUCAUAUGAUCAUGUGAGUAUGUAUGUGUAGGAGUGUGUACAUGUAUGUAUGUGAGUUUUAGUGUUGGAGAACAUGGAAGAGCAUUUGUGAGUGUGUAAACAUGGGAAUGUGUGUGAAUGAAUGUGUUAGACUGGUGAAGAUGUGUGAUCAAAUGUGAAAGUUCGUGUGCCUGAAAGUGUGUUUGUCAGUGUGUAUAAGAAGUGUGAGUGUGAUGUUGUGUGUAUGUGUGUAUGUGUGUCAGGGUGUUGAUGAAUGUGUAUGAGUGUUUACUAAUAUGUAACUGUGAGUGCAGGCAUGUGUAACUGGCUCUGAGUCCACCUCAGAUCCUUAUGUAGUCACCUCAUACCCAGAAGUCGCUGGGGAAAAGAUUCACCAUUGUUUCUCAAAAUAGGCUUCUCCUUUACUCUCCAUCUUCAGGAAAAGUGUCGUCGGUCAUCUUAUCACCCAAGCCAGAGAUAUAGGAAUUGUGCCAAUGUCAUUUCCCUUCCUUAUGCCAUAUAUCACCAAAGUUUACAUCAAUCCUGAUUGAUUCUGAGUUGAGGCCCUUUCUUCUUUCACCCAUGAAAGCCUCCUGGCUUGACAUCUUGCUUCUUGUCUUGAGACACUGGCUUA
rnacentral:lncRNA from 1 species